AAAAAUAACUGGCGUUGGGUAGAUAGGGAGUGCUGAAUACGCCCAUAUCUAACCCGAGCCAAACAGCUAAAGAACAACUCAGCCGCCAGGUGCCGCCUGCCAUGACCAACAUGGCUGUCACCCCGAGCGACAAUUUCAGUAGAAUUUCUGCACUCAGAUUCGAAAUAUCCCGCGCAAUGCGCGUCCGCGUUGUUUUUCUGUUUGGAGUAGCCGCGCUAGCGCUGCAGGCGCUGCAGAGAAUGCCGCGCCAAACCCGAAACUACGCCACCGUACCGAAACUUUCGAAACGCCGCGCCGACGGGUCUUCGGAGUGCGCGCGCUCGAAGCGACCAAGCGGCAGCCAUUACCACCAGCGUCGGCGCAUUGUUCUGCCGUCGUUGGUGUCUCCCGCAGUUUCGAACAGCCAAGACUCCACGACUGCAGCCGUUUCAUUGCCAGCUGUAAGGAUGAAGCAGCUUCAUAGCCGGACAUCAGACGCCUUCCAAGUUCCCCUUUUCAGCAACAGAGGCAUAGGAUGCCAUUCUACCUGUGCUGCAUUGUGUGGCUGACCACUCCUAGGAUCUCAGCAGAAUCAUUACACAGUUUCAGAAGCCACAAUUGCCUGGCAUGCUGUCUGGUCAUGAUGCAUGGCUACAAUUUGAUCCUGCUGACCCCAAGCAUGGUGUGAAAUGAAGAAAUGGCACUCCACAUCCAUAGAGAGCUUGAUUUCUCCUGUUUCAUGCUUACUUGUUGGCAUAGCCAGUCUGUUAGCUUAAUUUUUGGUUCUUCCCUAUUGAAUGCUCAAGAAAGGCACCAAAACUGUCAUUCAUUGAAAAAAAAGUUGUUUGCAGACACUGCCAUGCACAAAGCCCUUGACCUCAUUGAAUGUUUUUAAAAGAAAAUGCAGCUUCUGUGUGCAGCAAUAGGCUGAACAAGAUGAGGGCAAACAGGAAGGUUGCGACAUUAGUGUUCAAGAGUUGGCCAACAAAGAAGGUCACAAGCUGAAGCCAACAUCUUUACAAGGCAACAAAUGGAUUUAGCCUGAGCCAUUCCCUGUUCGACCAGCCAAGUCUCCUUGUUGAAACAUGUGCUCUAACCUGAGGCAUACAUAUCCCGUUCUACGACUCUCGAUCAACGAUACACCAAUACAAUUAACAACUCAUGGCAAGGUCGUAAAUUCACGUUUUAAGGGAAUGUAGUGUGCACCCUGCAAGGUAGCAUGAAUAGUAUGGCAUUUACUUGAAUGAAAUGCAGAUUUGCUUGCCAGUUACUUUAUCCCCAUGCUAUAAUUGGAAAGCAUGGUUCCUAAGAGAGAAUAAUGAUUUGAAGUUCACGCAGUUUUGCUCCUUUAUGUAAGUUCACACUGUUACGGUUGCUACACUACCAGUCCUGUCUGCAACUGCAUAGUAGUGUUCCGAGUACGCAGCCCAAUUCAAUAGAAAAGGUAGGCUUUUUCCUCAAAAAAUGUGUUGCUGCCUCACAGCUUGAUGCAGACAAGUAUUUUAUAUCUGGAUGGUGACUGCAAUAGGAUGUGCUUCUUAAAUAAGAGCGAUAUGCUGUUUCAAGUGCAAUUAAAUGCAAUUUCAAAUGACCUCAGCUUGGGAGAUCACACGAUGGGAGGCCAAUGUGAGAAGGAGGAUUUGAUAUUGUUACGUUCGAUAUGUUACAUUACAUACUGUGACAAUAUCUUAGAACAAGGCACUUGAACAUGAGAAAGCACGACUUAUUUCAUCUAAAGUUGCUACUGUUGGAUAUGAUCAGGGAAGGUACUUAUUCGUGACUCCAUUUGCAACAUGUUACAAUGCUGGCUUAAUAUUUUGCACUGGGUAGAUGAAAAAAACCACUGCUUGCACAAUAUUCAACUAAACAAGGUUUAGUUGAACAACUAAACACAAUAUUCAACUAAAGAACUAAACACAAUAUUCAACUAAACAAACACAACUCAUGCACUAUUAGAAAAUAAAUACGAAGGGUGAUCGUUUCUAAGUUUUAUGGAAUUUUUAAAAAUUGCCUGUGGCAGACAGCAUAAUUCUUGUCCUUGAGCUGGACUAUUUGAAGAGGCGGAUUACUAGCACAAGAAAUCGAAACACAUAUUCAAUUAGUUAAUGAAAAUUUCAGUAAUUAACUUCUUAACUGAUUAGUUUACAACGCAUAUUGCAAUUAACAAAUGGUAGCCAGAGAGCUUGCAAGACAUCUACUUGAAAUGGAUUUCCAGGAUGACACCAGUUUCGAGAUAUUAUUUCCAAAGUGUGGGACGAAAUACAUGAAUGUUCUAGUUACUUUUGUGCUUCAAUGGAGAAGACAGCAUUUUGUUAAAAAUAUAAGUUGAUAAACAGUGCAUUUUUAGGGCAAGUUUGAUGGCAUAUAUUUCCAAACUGGUGUCAUUAUGGAAAUUCAUUCCAAGUGGAUAUGCCUUGCAAACUCACCGGCUACAAUUCGUAAAUUGCAAUAUCGGCCGUAAAGUACUUAAUUCAAAAGAUAAUUAGUGGAUUUUUGUUAGUUAGCUGAAUAUGUGCUACGAUUUGUCGUGAAAGUAAUGUCCGCAUCUCUGACAAAUACAGUUAAGGACUAGAAUUAUGAUAUCUGCAACAGGUUAUUUUUAAGAAUUGUGUAAAACAUAAAAAUGAUCACCCUGUAUAUAGGGGACCCUGUUUGGAACUUUCACAAAUCUAGUCAUAAACAAAAAGACCAAGGAUCAAAUCCCGGCCAUGCCGGCCACAUUUCGAUGGGAGCGAAAUACAAGAAAACCUGUGUACUUAUAUUUAAACGUACAUUAAAGAAUCCCAGGUGGCCCAACUUAAUCCAGAGUCCCUUCCAACGACGGCAUGUCUCAGAAUCAUACGAUGGUUUUGGCUCAUAAAACACUAUAAAUAAAUUUUUAAUCUUUAGUAACCUGCUUUUUAAAAAAUGCAACGCAAUCACUAAACCAAAUGUUUUAGCUCGUUUGAGUGAUGAGUCCCAAUUUCUUAAUUUAGUACUUAGGUAUUUAUCAUCGUAUGUUUUGUGCUAGUUCAUGCAAAAUACCACCUCUGGUUGGCCUCAUUCUACAGUCCACUGUUAAUUUUGGGUGGCUUAGUCAUGCAAGUUCAACAUAUAUAUAGCCUGCAAUAUUGUGGAAUGUCUGCCCAAAGUAACAGUUCAAACAAAUGGUUCUGUAUUUAUGGUUCAAUAUGGGACGAAAUAAGAUUUCUUAAAUUAUCGUUUCUUGCGUUCACUAAUUCUAUUGUGUUAGGACGUGUACAAUAGUAUUGACUGGCAUGUUUGCGAUGUAGUUUUUUUUUAAUCCAGACAGUUUUUUAAUGGUACAAGGAAUGCUUUUGAUUUGGCAGAAAGAACAUAUUUUAUUAUAUUUGUUACAUUUGGUGUAUAAUAAAUGUUGUUCUCUUUAGUGUGUGUGUGUGUGUGUGUCGUGUAUUUUUCCUCUCAGCGAGUAGCAUCUGCUCUCGGAAGGCCCCUGCUGACCUCGGAGGCACUGCCGAUUACUAGCAUUUUCGCGAGGACGACUGCAUGACAGCACAAGGUUUGCCAAGAGGGGCUCUGCGAUCAGUGAAAGUGCAGCGAUGGGUUCAUUCGUCAUUGGACCACGUGUGCGCGUGACUUCGUGAAUUCCCAGGGCCGUCGCUUGUGUCACGUGUGGCGAGCACGCGGCGAAAUGUUUCGUGGCUGGACGCCGCCGCGCUUACGCAGUGGCAGACGGGAUACAGCAGGCUAAAGUGUCGGACGCCGGCGAUAGCUACAAGCGUCGGUAGUGCGGGCCAAACGCACGCUCGGGCGGCAGCUCCUCGGACGGCCCCGUUCUCUUGAGCCUUGGUGUCCGGCGUCCGACAGUUUGGCCUGUGGUGAUCCGUUGGGUGCUGUGUAAGCGCGUGACCCAUCGCCACCAAGCAUUUCGCUUCGUGGUCGCCCCACGUAAACUAAAGCGCUUUUAAUUGCAUCCAUAAAUUCUCUAAUUAAUACCAAAAACGCCCUAAAUGCCGCCUUAAUUUCAUCGCAAAUGCUCCCAUUUGGAAAUGAUAAAACUCCCAUUGAGGCCUGCAACACCUCCCAGUCAAAUGGGGGUAAAGUGGGCAUUUUACGGUACUCCCGUAGUAUGCCGAAGGAAUGCCCACCUAAAUGGGAGUUUUAUCGUACGCCCAUUCUAUGGGAGCAAAAACAUGUACAAAUGGGAAUGCGCUAGAGGACAAGUGAAAAACGCCCAUCUGGGUGUUUUUCUGUUUA